UUAAGUUCAGCGGGUAGUCCUACCUGAUUUGAGGUCAAGAUGGUCAUUAGAAUUUGCCUUUCGACGGUUUAUGAAGCAGAUACCUUCAUGCAACAACCACAGCAUAGAUAAUUAUCACACUGAUAGUCAGACUUGCAGAAGCAUUCCGGCUAAUACAUUUAAGGGGAGUGAGAGAGAUUAGAUCCCACACAGAAGCCCCC
rnacentral:misc_RNA from 1 species